UCAGAAGAAUGCAAAAUUGUUGGCAAGGGACCCGAGCAUUUAAAAACCAGAUACAAAUGGCACAAAAGCCUAGAGACUGAAGCAGCCGAAGGGUGAGGCGCACAUGCUUUGUGAGAUGGCCGCGGGAGCUGGCCACCAGCAGCCAGUUGUUGAUAUACGGGAAGACUAUCACCCCUUGCAGCCUGAGAUGCACUGCCACCACCACCAUACACUUUGUAAAGACUCGAGGGGUGGACGCCAAGCCAAACGGGAGGACCUUGUACUGGAAAUUCGCCUAGCCAACAAGUGGCUUUCCUGCUUGAGGACAGCAUACCUGCCAUUACUCGGAAAGUGGCGGGCUUUUGUGCAGCAGCUCGAAGAGUGCGCCAGUUUUUAAUUAACAGUCCCAGUGCUGCUCUAUAACCUUUCAGUUAUAAUAUUGUUGAUGGGUUAGACUGUUGACUUGUUUGUUUGUUUUUAAUUAUUCAUAUUUUAAUUGUAUUGUCCCCGUCCCCCCCGUUGUGCUGGUCAUAGACCGUAAUAAACUUUGAUUGAUUGAGCUG